AUUGAACGCUAGCGGGAUGCCUUACACAUGCAAGUCGAACGGCGUGGCGAACGGGUGAGUAAUGUAUCGGAACGUGCCCCGUCGCGGGGGAUAACUACGCGAAAGCGUAGCUAAUACCGCAUACUAUUGGCGCGGCCGAUAUCGGAUUAGCUAGUUGGGGGGGUAACGGCUCACCAAGGCGACGAUCCGUAGCUGGUUUGAGAGGACGACCAGCCACCCUGGGACUGAGACACGGCCCAGACGCCUACGGGAGGCAGCAGUGGGGAAUUUUGGACAAUGGGGGAAACCCUGAAACAGCCAUCCCGCGUGUGCGAUGAAGGCCUUCGGGUUGUAAAGCACUUUUGGCAGGAAAGCGGUACCUGCAGAAGAAGCACCGGCUAACUACGUGCCAGCAGCCGCGGUAAUUC
rnacentral:rRNA from 1 species